CCUUUCGAAUGCAGAAGAGUUGAGGUGGUUGAGUAUCUCGCCCCUCAAUUCUCGCUGUAUUUUUACCCUUGUUUUUCUCAUACUAUUAUUUCCUCGGCAGGCCAGCCUGCCGGGUGAAACAACUUCAAACCUGUUUAAUUUUCAAUCAGCGUCUGAACAAAUUAAUAAUUA
rnacentral:misc_RNA from 1 species